CCCACAGUUGUGUCAAGUUGGCUGGAUGUCCUUUGGAUGGUGGGCCAUUCUUGAUACGCACGGGAAACUGAUGAGUGUGAAAAACCCAGCAGUGUUGCAGUUCUAGACACACUCAACCCGGUGCACCUGGCACCUACUACUAUACCCCAUUCAAAGGCACUUAAAUCUUUACCCUCUGAAUGGCACACAUACACAAUCCAUGUCUCAAGGCUUACAAAUCUGUCUUUAACCUGUCUCCUCCCCUCCAUCUACACUGAUUGAAAUGGAUUUAACAGGUGACGUUAAUAAGGGAUCAUAGCUUUCACCUGGAUUCACCUUCUCAGUCUAUGUCAUGGACAGAGCAGGUGUUCCUAAUGUUUUUUUACACUCAGUCCAUUUUACAUACAUGGUAGGCUACUUUUAUACACAGUAGGCCUAUUACAGAGAACAUACAUAUAUAUUUUUGAUAUACACAUUACUUUCCUUGCUGCAAACUUCCUGCAAGUUUGUGACAAAAUGUUGCCAGAAGUUGUUUGCCACUAGUGGUGAAUUUGCAGCAAACCUUUGGCAACAACAAUAUUUACGACUAGUGGCAAACAGUUCACCAGUUUGUUUCUGGAAAACAAUUCUCUCGAGAUUAUAUUUGAAUCUGUGCAAACCUGUGGCAACAAUAUGUACUGCCACUAGUGGCUCCCAGUUUACCAGAGGUUGUUUCUGGUGGGCACAUCAUUUCAAAGACCAGUAACUUUUGACGACCAGUCAAGGAGAUCUGAAAAAAAAUCAGAUGGAAAUGGAAACCAAGAAAUCUACCUACCAAAGUUGUCCGAAGCAAUCAGUUAUCAGACAAAGAGACAGAUUGAGGCCUUCAAUCAAACGGAGGACUGAGAAAUAUGCAUGCACCAGCCUUAUUAUACACCUGAGUCAGAAAGAAGUGACAACUAGUAGAAAAGUGGCUCUUGAUAAUGAUGUCCCCAGUCCAGAUUGGAGAUCUGAGUUUUAA
rnacentral:lncRNA from 1 species